AUUGAACGCUGGCGGCAUGCCUUACACAUGCAAGUCGAACGGUAACGCGGGGCAACCUGGCGACGAGUGGCGAACGGGUGAGUAAUAUAUCGGAACGUGCCCAGUCGUGGGGGAUAACUGCUCGAAAGAGCAGCUAAUACCGCAUACGACCUGAGGGUGAAAGCGGGGGAUCUUCGGACCUCGCGCGAUUGGAGCGGCCGAUAUCAGAUUAGGUAGUUGGUGGGGUAAAGGCCUACCAAGCCGACGAUCUGUAGCUGGUCUGAGAGGACGACCAGCCACACUGGGACUGAGACACGGCCCAGACUCCUACGGGAGGCAGC
rnacentral:rRNA from 1 species